rnacentral:rRNA from 1 species
UACGUAGGGUCCGAGCGUUGUCCGGAAUUACUGGGCGUAAAGAGCUCGUAGGUGGUUUGUCGCGUUGUUCGUGAAAACUCACAGCUCAACUGUGGGCGUGCGGGCGAUACGGGCAGACUUGAGUACUGCAGGGGAGACUGGAAUUCCUGGUGUAGCGGUGGAAUGCGCAGAGUAUCAGGAGGAACACCGGUGGCGAAGGCGGGUCUCGUGGGCAGUGAACUGACGCUGAGGAGCGAAAGCGUGGGGAGCGAACAGG